UACGAAGGGAGCUAGCGUUGUUCGGAAUCACUGGGCGUAAAGCGCACGUAGGCGGAUGUGUCAGUCAGGGGUGAAAUCCUGGAGCUCAACUCCAGAACUGCCUUCGAUACUGAGAGUCUUGAGUCCGGGAGAGGUGAGUGGAACUGCGAGUGUAGAGGUGAAAUUCGUAGAUAUUCGCAAGAACACCAGUGGCGAAGGCGGCUCACUGGCCCGGUACUGACGCUGAGGUGCGAAAGCGUGGGGAGCAAACAGG
rnacentral:rRNA from 1 species